rnacentral:ncRNA from 14 species
AUAUUUUGAUGAGGCGCAUCAAUCAUGAGUAAAGUUUAGAUUACUGUCUGCUAACAGCUAAAUUUGAAAGGGUGCGAUGCCGAAGCAAUUAUAAUAGCAGUUAUAAUUUGUUGGACUUUUUGGUUAAGAGCUGAGAGUUUGUCAUUAUUUAAAAAUAAUGGAGUGCAUCACUUGUA